UACGAAGGGGGCUAGCGUUGUUCGGAAUUACUGGGCGUAAAGCGCACGUAGGCGGAUACUUAAGUCAGGGGUGAAAUCCCGGGGCUCAACCCCGGAACUGCCUUUGAUACUGGGUAUCUCGAGUCCGGAAGAGGUGAGUGGAAUUCCGAGUGUAGAGGUGAAAUUCGUAGAUAUUCGGAAGAACACCUGAGGCGAAGGCGGGUUGCUGGGGCUGAUACUGACGCUGAGGGCGCGAAAGCCAGGGGAGCAAAGCGGGG
rnacentral:rRNA from 1 species